UACGAGUGGUGCAAACGUUAUUCGGAAUCACUGGGCUUAAAGGGUGCGUAGGCGGCUACGAAAGUCAGGUGUGAAAUCCCUCGGCUCAACCGAGGAACUGCGCUUGAAACUGCGUAGCUUGAGGAAGACAGAGGUGAGCGGAACUGAUGGUGGAGCGGUGAAAUGCGUUGAUAUCAUCAGGAACACCGGUGGCGAAGGCGGCUCACUGGGUCUUAUCUGACGCUGAUGCACGAAAGCCAGGGGAGCAAACGGG
rnacentral:rRNA from 1 species